UGGACCCCAACUGCUCCUGCGCCCCAGGUGGCUCCUGCGCCUGCGCUGGCUCCUGCACGUGCAAAGAGUGCAGGUGCUCGUCCUGCAAGAAGAGCUGCUGCUCCUGCUGCCCCGCGGGCUGUGCCAAGUGCGCCCAGGGCUGCGUCUGCAAAGGGACAUCGAACAAGUGCAGCUGCUGCGCCUGAUGCCAGGGGAUCCCAGCUCCCAGAUGUAAAUAGAGCCACCUGUACAAACCUGGAUUUUUUUUUUCAUAUCACCCUGACCCGUUUGCUACAUUCCUUUUUCUAUGAAACAUGUGAAUGACAAUAAAACAUUUUUUACUGGA